rnacentral:lncRNA from 1 species
UCGGCCACAAUCGCAUGACGCAGAAGUCAGCCGCGCACCCAAUGCAACAUCAACAACUUUUACUCCUCGGCCGAGCUCGGCCUAUGAGUUAGCAUGCCCUGCAUUCACCAAAUGACGUAGUUAGCUCGUAGAUUACUCGGCCUACGCACCACAUAGGCUUGGUAGUUUUUAGGGUCAACACAUAAUAUCUUGCAAUUACACCCAAAAACCACCAUAUGUGGCCGGUUCCCAUCUCUCCAAAAGAGGUCGGCCACACCCCUAUACCAC